rnacentral:rRNA from 1 species
GACGUAGGGCGCGAGCGUUGUCCGGAUUUAUUUGGGCGGUAAAGAUGUCGUUACGGUAGGCGGCUUGUCGCGUUACGACUGUGAAACCCGAUGGCGUCAACCAUCGUGGUACUGCAGUCGGAUACGGGCAGGCUAGAAUUCGGUAGGGGAGACUGGGAAAUUCCUGGUGUAGCGGUGAAAUGCGCAGAUAUCAGGAGGAACACCGGUGGCCGAAGGCCGGGUCUCUGGGCCGAUAAUUGACGCUGAGGAGCGAAAGCGUGGGGAGCGAACAGG